UACAGAGGUGGCAAGCGUUGUUCGGAAUUACUGGGCGUAAAGGGCGCGUAGGCGGCCAUCUAAGUCAGACGUGAAAUUCCCCGGCUUAACCUGGGAACUGCGUCUGAUACUGGACGGCUUGAGUAUGGGAGAGGGAUGUAGAAUUCCAGGUGUAGCGGUGAAAUGCGUAGAUAUCUGGAGGAAUACCGGUGGCGAAGGCGGCAUCCUGGACCAUUACUGACGCUGAGGCGCGAAAGCCAGGGGAGCAAACGGG
rnacentral:rRNA from 1 species